CACGUAGGGGGCAAGCGUUGUCCGGAUUUAUUGGGCGUAAAGAGCUCGUAGGCGGUUCGGUAAGUCGGGUGUGAAACCUCCAGGCUCAACCUGGGAGACGCCACCCGAUACUGCUGUGACUAGAGUCCAGUAGGGGAGCGUGGAAUUCCUGGUGUAGCGGUGAAAUGCGCAGAUAUCAGGAGGAACACCAGCGGCGAAGGCGGCGCUCUGGGCUGGAACUGACGCUGAGGAGCGAAAGCGUGGGGAGCGAACAGG
rnacentral:rRNA from 1 species